UUGCUUUGGCAGCAUGUAUACUAAAACUGGAACGAUACAGACAAAAUUAGCAUGGCCUCUG
rnacentral:snRNA from 1 species